GAUCCGGUGGUCUAAGUGGUUAGAGAAUCUGCCUUUGAUGUGGGAGGUCGUGGGUUUGAACCCCAGCUGAGUCA